rnacentral:rRNA from 1 species
CUACGGGUCGCUGCAGUGGGGAAUAUUGGACAAUGGGGGGAACCCUGAUCCAGCCAUGCCGCGUGUGUGAAGAAGGCCUUUUGGUUGUAAAGCACUUUAAGCAGUGAAGAAGACUCUUCGGUUAAUACCCGGGGACGAUGACAUUAGCUGCAGAAUAAGCACCGGCUAACUCUGUGCCAGCAGCCGCGGUAAUACAGAGGGUGCAAGCGUUAAUCGGAAUUACUGGGCGUAAAGCGAGCGUAGGUGGCUUGAUAAGUCAGAUGUGAAAUCCCCGGGCUUAACCUGGGAACUGCAUCUGGAACUGUUAGGCUAGAGUAGGUGAGAGGGAAGUAGAAUUUCAGGUGUAGCGGUGAAAUGCGUAGAGAUCUGAAGGAAUACCGAUGGCGAAGGCAGCUUCCUGGCAUCAUACUGACACUGAGGCUCGAAAGCGUGGGUAGCAAACAGGAUUAGAUACCCGUGUAGUC